rnacentral:rRNA from 1 species
CAGUAGCCGCGGUAAUACGGAGGGUGCAAGCGUUAAUCGGAAUUACUGGGCGUAAAGCGCACGCAGGCGGUUUGUUAAGUCAGAUGUGAAAUCCCCGAGCUUAACUUGGGAACUGCAUUUGAAACUGGCAAGCUAGAGUCUUGUAGAGGGGGGUAGAAUUCCAGGUGUAGCGGUGAAAUGCGUAGAGAUCUGGAGGAAUACCGGUGGCGAAAGCGGCCCCCUGGACAAAGACUGACGCUCAGGUGCGAAAGCGUGGGGAGCAAACAGGAUUAGAUACCCCUGUAGUCCCUGUCUCUUAUAC